rnacentral:misc_RNA from 1 species
GAUGAAGAACGUAGCGAAAUGCGAUAAGUAGUGUGAAUUGCAGAAUUCAGUGAAUCAUCGAAUCUUUGAACGCACAUUGCGCCUUCUAGUAUUCUGGGAGGCAUGCCUGUUUGAGCGUCAUUAAACCUCUCUCAAGUAUGAUUACUUGGAUGUGAAGGAAGAGUACCUUAAACUUAAGGAGUGUUCUCCUUUGAAAUUGAUUAGCAGAUGGUAAUGUUAUUAAAUCCCUGAUGUUGUAAGAAAUAACAGUGGUUUUGUAGACUAUUAUCUAGCUUUAAAUUAUAAUUUUUAUUAUGGUUGACCUCAAAUCAGGUAAGGAUACCCGCUGAACUUAAGCAUAUCAAUAGCGGAGGA